rnacentral:rRNA from 1 species
AUACGUAGGGGGCGAGCGUUGUCCGGAUUUAUUGGGCGUAAAGAGCUCGUAGGUGGUUUGGUAAGUCAAAUGUGAAAUCUCCACGCUCAACGUGGAGGGGCCAUUCGAUACUGCCAUGACUUGAGUUCGGUAGGGGAAUGUGGAAUUCCUGGUGUAGCGGUGAAAUGCGCAGAUAUCAGGAGGAACACCCGUAGCGAAGGCGGCAUUCUGGGCCGAUACUGACACUGAGGAGCGAAAGCGUGGGGAGCGAACAGGAUUAGAUACCCUGGUAGUCCACGCCGUAAACGGUGGGCACUAGGUGUGGGACCCUUUCGACGGGUUCCGUGCCGUAGCUAACGCAUUAAGUGCCCCGCCUGGGGAGUACGGCCGCAAGGCUAAA